rnacentral:piRNA from 1 species
UGAAUGUUAUGUUUCNGAGCCCUACCUACC